rnacentral:lncRNA from 1 species
UCAAAACCCGCAUCGGCCGUCCGAAUGACACGCAAACACACACAUAGCACCGCGUAGGUAAUAGACACGCGUUAGAACUUACGGGACUCGAUUCCGACAUACGGAGACUGAGUUAUCGCCCAGUUUGCAAAACUCGCCAACAAUUAGGCAAAAAGACGAAAAACAGGUCAAAACCCGCAUCGGCCGUUCGAAUGACACGCAAACACACACAUAACACCGCGUAGGUAAUAGACAUGCAUUAGAACUUACGGGACUCGAUUCCGACAUACGGAGACCGAGUUAUCGCGGAGUUUGCAAAACUCGCCAACACUUGGGCAAAAAACCGAAAAUGAGGUCAAAACCCGCAUCUGCCAUCCGAAUGACACGAAUACACACAUAUAGCACCGUGCAAGUAAUAAACAUGCGUUAGAACUUACGGGACUCGUUUCUGACAUACGGAAACCGAGUUAUUGCCCAGUCUGCAAAACUCGCCAACACUUAGGCAAAAAGACGAAAAAGAGGUCAAAACUCGCAUCGGCCGUCCGAAUGACAUGCAAACACACACAUAGAACCGCGUAGGUAAUACACACGCAUUAGAACUUACGGGACUCGAUUCCGACAUACGGAGACCGAGUUAUCGCUUAAUUUGCAAAACACGCCAAUACUUAGGCAAAUAGCGGAAAAAGAGGUCAAAAACCCGCAUCAGCCGUUCGAAUGACACGCAAACACACACAUAACACCGCGUAGGUAAUAGUCAUGCAUUAGAACUUACGGGACUCGAUUCCGACAUGCGGAAACUGAGUUAUCGCCCAGUUUGCAAAACUCGCCAACACUUAGGCAAAAAGACGAAAAACAUGUCAAAACCCGCAUCGGCCGUUUGAAUGACACGCAAACACACACAUAGCACCGCGUAGGUAAUAGACACGCGUUAGAACUUACGGGACUCGAAUCCGACAUACGGAGACUGAGUUAUGGCCCAGUUUGCAAAACUCGUCAACACUUAGGCAAAAAGUCGAAAAAGGGGUCAAAAUCCACAUCGGUCGUUCGAAUGACACGCAAACCCACACAUAACACCGCGUAGGUAAUAGUCAUGCAUUAGAACUUACGGGACUCGAUUCCGACAUACGGAAACUGAGUUAUCGCCCAGUUUGCAAAACUCGUCAACACUUAGGCAAAAAGACGAAAAACAGGUCAAAACCCGCAUCGUCCGUUUGAAUGACACGCAAACACACACAUAGCACCGCGUAGGUAAUAGACACGCGUUAGAACUUACGGGACUCGAAUCCGACAUACGGAGACUGAGUUAUCGCCCAGUUUGCAAAACUCGUCAACACUUAGGCAAAAAAGUCGAAAAAGGGGUCAAAACUCGCAUCGGUCGUCCGAAUGACACGCAAACACACUAAUAGCACCGCGUAGGUAAGAGACACGCGUUAUAACUUAUGGGACUAGAUUCUGACAUACGGAGACCGAGUUAUCGCGGAGUUUGCAAAACUCGCCAACACUUGGGCAAAAAGCCGAAAAAGAGGUCAAAACCAACAUCUGCCGUCCAAAUGACACGAAUACACACAUAUAGCACCGUGCAGGUAAUAGACACGCGUUAGAACUUACGGGACUCGAUUCUGACAUACAGAGACCGAGUUAUCGCCUAGUUUGCAAAACUCGCAAACACUUAGGCAAAAAGACGAAAAACAGGUCAAAACCCGCAUCGGUCGUCUGAAUGACACGUAAACACACACAUAAAACCGCGUAGGUAAUAGUCAUGUAUUAGAACUUACGGGACUCGAUUCCGACAUACGAAGACUGAUUUAUCGCCCAGUUUGCAAAACUUGCCAACACUUAGGCAAAAAGACGAAAAAUAGGUCAAAACCCGCAUCGGCCGUCCGAAUGACACGCAAACACACACAUAGCACCGCGUAGGUAAUAGACACGCAUUAGAACUUACGGGACUCGAUUCCGACAUACGGAGACUGAGUUAUCGCCCAGUUUGCAAAACUCGCCAACACUUAGGCAAAAAGUCGAAAAAGGGGUCAAAACUCGCAUCGGUAGUCCGAAUGACACGCAAACACACUAAUAGCACCGCGUAGGUAAUAGACACGCGUUAGAACUUACGGGACUCGAUUCCGACAUACGGAGACCGAGUUAUCGCGGAGUUUGCAAAACUCGCCAACACUUGGGCAAAAAGCCGAAAAAGAGGUCAAAACCCGCAUCUGCCGUCCGAAUGACACGAAUACACACAUAUAGCACCGUGCAGGUAAUAGACAUGCGUUAGAACUUACGGGACACGAUUCUGACAUACGGAGACCGAGUUAUUGCCCAGUUUGCAAAACUCGCCAACACUUAGGCAAAAAGCCGAAAAAGACGGCCGUCCGAAUGACAUGCAAACACACACAUAGAACCGCGUAGGUACUAGACACGCUUUAGAACUUACGGGACUCGAUUCCGACAUACGAAGACCGAGUUAUCGCGGAGUUUGCAAAACUCGCCAACACUUGGGCAAAAAACCGAAAAAGAGGUCAAAACCCGCAUCUGCCAUCCGAAUGACACGAAUACACACAUAUAGCACCGUGCAGGUAAUAGACAUGCGUUAGAACUUACGGGACUCGUUUCUGACAUACGGAGACCGAGUUAUUGCCCAGUCUGCAAAACUCGUCAACACUUAGGUAAAAAGCCGAAAAAGAGGUUAAAACUCGCAUCGGCCGUCCGAAUGACAUGCAAACACACACAUAGAACCGCGUAGGUAAUAGACACGCAUUAGAACUUACGGGACUCGAUUCCGACAUACGAAGACCGGGUUAUCGCUUAAUUUGCAGAACACGCCAAUACUUAGGCAACUAGCGGAAAAAGAGGUCAAAAACCCGCAUCGGCCGUUCGAAUGACACGCAAACACAGACAUAACACCGCGUAGGUAAUAGUCAUGCAUUAGAACUUACGGGACUCGAUUCCGACAUACGGAAACUGAGUUAUCGCACAGUUUGCAAAACUCGCCAACACUUAGGCAAAAAGACGAAAAACAGGUCAAAACCCGCAUCGGCCGUUUGAAUGACACGCAAACACACACAUAGCACCGCGUAGGUUAUAGACACGCGUUAGAACUUACGGGACUCGAAUCCGACAUACGGAGACAGAGUUAUCGCCCAGUUUGCAAAACUCGUCAACACUUAGGCAAAAAGUCGAAAAAGGGGUCAAAACCCGCAUCGGCCGUUCGAAUGACACGCAAACACACAUAUAACACCGUGUAGGUAAUAGUCAUGCAUUAGAACUUACGGGACUCGAUUCCGACAUACGGAAACUGAGUUAUCGCCCAGUUUGUAAAACUCGCCAACACUUAGGCAAAAAGACGAAAAACAGGUUAAAACCCGCAUCGGCCGUUUGAAUGACACGCAAACACACACAUAGCACCGCGUAGGUAAUACACACGCGUUAGAACUUACGGGACUCGAAUCCGACAUACGGAGACUGAGUUAUCGCCCAGUUUGCAAAACUCGUCAACACUUAGGCAAAAAGCCGAAAAAGAGGUUAAAACUCGCAUCGGCCGUCCCAAUGACAUGCAAACACACACAUAGAACCGCGUAGGUAAUAGACACGCAUUAGAACUUACGGGACUCGAUUCCGACAUACGGAGACCGAGUUAUCGCCUAAUUUGCAAAACACGCCAAUACUUAGGCAAAAAGCGGAAAAAGAGGUCAAAAAACCGCGUAGGUAAUAGACACGCAUUAGAACUUACGGGACUCGAUUCCGAUAUACAGAGACCGAGUUAUCGCCUAGUUUGUAAAACUCGCCAACACUUAGGCAAAAAGCCGAAAAAGAGGUCAAAACCCGCAUCUGCCGUCCGAAUGACACGAAUACACAGAUAUAGCCCCGUGCAGGUAAUACACAUGCGUUAGAACUUACGGGACUCGAUUCUGACAUACGGAGACCGAGUUAUUGCCCAGUCUGCAAAACUCGCCAACACUUGGGCAAAAAGUCGAAAAAGGGGUCAAAACUCGCAUCGGUUGUCCGAAUGACACGCAAAUACAUUAAUAGCACCGCGUAGGUAAUAGACACGCGUUAGAACUUACUGGACUCGAUUCCGACAAACGAAGACUGAGUUAUCGCUCAGUUUGCAAAACUCGCCAACACUUAGGCAAGAAGCCGAAAAAGAGGUCAAAACUCGCAUCGGCCGUCCGAAUGACGGCCGUCCGAAUGACAUGCACACACACACAUAGAACCGCGUAGGUAAUAGACACGCGUUAGAACUUACGGGACUCGAUUCUGACAUACGGAGACCGAGUUAUCGCGGAGUUUGCAAAACUCGCCAACACUUAGGCGAAAAGUCGAAAAAGGGGUCAAAACUCGUAUCGGUAGUCCGAAUGACACGCAAACACACUAAUAGCACCGCGUAGGUAAUAGACACGCGUUAGAACUUACGGGACUCGAUUCUGACAUACGGAGACCGAGUUAUCGCGGAGUUUGCAAAACUCGCCAACACUUAGGCGAAAAGUCGAAAAAGGGGUCAAAACUCGUAUCGGUAGUCCGAAUGACACGCAAACACACUAAUAGCACCGCGUAGGUAAUAGACACGCGUUAGAACUUACGGGACUCGAUUCUGACAUACGGAGACCGAGUUAUCGCGGAGUUUGCAAAACUCGCCAACACUUAGGCGAAAAGUCGAAAAAGGGGUCAAAACUCGUAUCGGUAGUCCGAAUGACACGCAAACACACUAAUAGCACCGCGUAGGUAAUAGACACGCGUUAGAACUUACGGGACUCGAUUCUGACAUACGGAGACCGAGUUAUCGCGGAGUUUGCAAAACUCGCCAACACUUAGGCGAAAAGUCGAAAAAGGGGUCAAAACUCGUAUCGGUAGUCCGAAUGACACGCAAACACACUAAUAGCACCGCGUAGGUAAUAGACACGCGUUAGAACUUACGGGACUCGAUUCUGACAUACGGAGACCGAGUUAUCGCGGAGUUUGCAAAACUCGCCAACACUUAGGCGAAAAGUCGAAAAAGGGGUCAAAACUCGUAUCGGUAGUCCGAAUGACACGCAAACACACUAAUAGCACCGCGUAGGUAAUAGACACGCGUUAGAACUUACGGGACUCGAUUCUGACAUACGGAGACCGAGUUAUCGCGGAGUUUGCAAAACUCACCAACACUUGGGCAAAAAGCCGAAAAAGAGGUCAAAACCCGCAUCUGCCUUCUGAAUGACAUGCAAACACACAUAGAACCGCGUAGGUAAUAGACACGCAUUAGAACUUACGGGACUCGAUUCCGACAUACGAAGACCGAGUUAUCGCGGAGUUUGCAAAACUCGCCAACACUUGGGCAAAAAGCCCAAAAAGAGGUCAAAACCCGCAUCUGCCGUUUGAAUGACACGAAUACACAGAUAUAGCACCGUGCAGGUAAUAGACACGCGUUAGAACUUACGGGACUCGAUUCUGACAUACGGAGACCGAGUUAUUGCGCAGUUUGCAAAACUCGCCAACACUUAGGCAAAAAGUCGAAAAAGGGGUCAAAACUUGCAUCGGUAGUCCGAAUGACACGCAAACACACUAAUAGCAUCGCGUAGGUAAUAGACACGCGUUAGAACUUACGAGACUCGAUUCCGACAUACGGAGACCGAGUUAUCGCGGAGUUUGCAAAACUCGCCAACACUUGGGCAAAGAGCCGAAAAAGAGGUCAAAACCCGCAUCUGCCGUCCGAAUGACACGAAUACACACAUAUAGCACCGUGCAGGUAAUAGACACGCGUUAGAACUUACGAGACUCGAUUCCGACAUACGGAGACCGAGUUAUCGCGGAGUUUGCAAAACUCGCCAACACUUGGGCAAAGAGCCGAAAAAGAGGUCAAAACCCGCAUCUGCCGUCCGAAUGACACGAAUACACACAUAUAGCACCGUGCAGGUAAUAGACACGCGUUAGAACUUACGAGACUCGAUUCCGACAUACGGAGACCGAGUUAUCGCGGAGUUUGCAAAACUCGCCAACACUUGGGCAAAGAGCCGAAAAAGAGGUCAAAACCCGCAUCUGCCGUCCGAAUGACACGAAUACACACAUAUAGCACCGUGCAGGUAAUAGACACGCGUUAGAACUUACGAGACUCGAUUCCGACAUACGGAGACCGAGUUAUCGCGGAGUUUGCAAAACUCGCCAACACUUGGGCAAAGAGCCGAAAAAGAGGUCAAAACCCGCAUCUGCCGUCCGAAUGACACGAAUACACACAUAUAGCACCGUGCAGGUAAUAGACACGCGUUAGAACUUACGAGACUCGAUUCCGACAUACGGAGACCGAGUUAUCGCGGAGUUUGCAAAACUCGCCAACACUUGGGCAAAGAGCCGAAAAAGAGGUCAAAACCCGCAUCUGCCGUCCGAAUGACACGAAUACACACAUAUAGCACCGUGCAGGUAAUAGACACGCGUUAGAACUUACGAGACUCGAUUCCGACAUACGGAGACCGAGUUAUCGCGGAGUUUGCAAAACUCGCCAACACUUGGGCAAAGAGCCGAAAAAGAGGUCAAAACCCGCAUCUGCCGUCCGAAUGACACGAAUACACACAUAUAGCACCGUGCAGGUAAUAGACACGCGUUAGAACUUACGAGACUCGAUUCCGACAUACGGAGACCGAGUUAUCGCGGAGUUUGCAAAACUCGCCAACACUUGGGCAAAGAGCCGAAAAAGAGGUCAAAACCCGCAUCUGCCGUCCGAAUGACACGAAUACACACAUAUAGCACCGUGCAGGUAAUAGACACGCGUUAGAACUUACGAGACUCGAUUCCGACAUACGGAGACCGAGUUAUCGCGGAGUUUGCAAAACUCGCCAACACUUGGGCAAAGAGCCGAAAAAGAGGUCAAAACCCGCAUCUGCCGUCCGAAUGACACGAAUACACACAUAUAGCACCGUGCAGGUAAUAGACACGCGUUAGAACUUACGAGACUCGAUUCCGACAUACGGAGACCGAGUUAUCGCGGAGUUUGCAAAACUCGCCAACACUUGGGCAAAGAGCCGAAAAAGAGGUCAAAACCCGCAUCUGCCGUCCGAAUGACACGAAUACACACAUAUAGCACCGUGCAGGUAAUAGACACGCGUUAGAACUUACGAGACUCGAUUCCGACAUACGGAGACCGAGUUAUCGCGGAGUUUGCAAAACUCGCCAACACUUGGGCAAAGAGCCGAAAAAGAGGUCAAAACCCGCAUCUGCCGUCCGAAUGACACGAAUACACACAUAUAGCACCGUGCAGGUAAUAGACACGCGUUAGAACUUACGAGACUCGAUUCCGACAUACGGAGACCGAGUUAUCGCGGAGUUUGCAAAACUCGCCAACACUUGGGCAAAGAGCCGAAAAAGAGGUCAAAACCCGCAUCUGCCGUCCGAAUGACACGAAUACACACAUAUAGCACCGUGCAGGUAAUAGACACGCGUUAGAACUUACGAGACUCGAUUCCGACAUACGGAGACCGAGUUAUCGCGGAGUUUGCAAAACUCGCCAACACUUGGGCAAAGAGCCGAAAAAGAGGUCAAAACCCGCAUCUGCCGUCCGAAUGACACGAAUACACACAUAUAGCACCGUGCAGGUAAUAGACACGCGUUAGAACUUACGAGACUCGAUUCCGACAUACGGAGACCGAGUUAUCGCGGAGUUUGCAAAACUCGCCAACACUUGGGCAAAGAGCCGAAAAAGAGGUCAAAACCCGCAUCUGCCGUCCGAAUGACACGAAUACACACAUAUAGCACCGUGCAGGUAAUAGACACGCGUUAGAACUUACGAGACUCGAUUCCGACAUACGGAGACCGAGUUAUCGCGGAGUUUGCAAAACUCGCCAACACUUGGGCAAAGAGCCGAAAAAGAGGUCAAAACCCGCAUCUGCCGUCCGAAUGACACGAAUACACACAUAUAGCACCGUGCAGGUAAUAGACACGCGUUAGAACUUACGAGACUCGAUUCCGACAUACGGAGACCGAGUUAUCGCGGAGUUUGCAAAACUCGCCAACACUUGGGCAAAGAGCCGAAAAAGAGGUCAAAACCCGCAUCUGCCGUCCGAAUGACACGAAUACACACAUAUAGCACCGUGCAGGUAAUAGACACGCGUUAGAACUUACGAGACUCGAUUCCGACAUACGGAGACCGAGUUAUCGCGGAGUUUGCAAAACUCGCCAACACUUGGGCAAAGAGCCGAAAAAGAGGUCAAAACCCGCAUCUGCCGUCCGAAUGACACGAAUACACACAUAUAGCACCGUGCAGGUAAUAGACACGCGUUAGAACUUACGAGACUCGAUUCCGACAUACGGAGACCGAGUUAUCGCGGAGUUUGCAAAACUCGCCAACACUUGGGCAAAAAGUCGAAAAAGGGGUCAAAACUUGCAUCGGCCGUCCGAAUGACAUGCAAACACACACAUAGAACCGCGUAGGUAAUAGACACGCAUUAGAACUUACGGGACUCGAUUCCGACAUACAGAGACCGAGUUAUCGCCAAGUUUGCAAAACUCGCCAACACUUAGGCAAAAAGACGAAAAAUAGGUCAAAACCCGCAUCGGUCGUCUGAAUGACACUUAAACACACACAUAACACCGCGUAGGUAAAAGUCAUGUAUUAGAACUUACGGGACUCGAUUCCGACAUACGGAGACUGAUUUAUCGCCCAGUUUGCAAAACUUGCCAACACUUAGGCAAAAAGCCGAAAAAGAGGCCAAAACCCGCAUCGUCCGUCCGGACGCCACGCAAACACACACAUAGCACCGCGUAGGUAUUAGACACGUGUUAGAACUUACGGGACUCGAUUCCGACAUACGGAAUCCGAGUUAUCGUCCAGUUUGCAAAACUCGCCAACACUUAGGCAAAAAGCCGAAAAACAGCCCAAAACCCGCAUCGGACGUCCGAAUGCCACGCAAACACACACAUAGCACCGCGUAGGUAUUAGACACGUGUUAGAACUUACGGGACUCGAUUCCGACAUACGGAAUCCGAGUUAUCGUCCAGUUUGCAAAACUCGCCAACACUUAGGCAAAAAGCCGAAAAACAGCCCAAAACCCGCAUCGGACGUCCGAAUGCCACGCAAACACACACAUAGCACCGCGUAGGUAUUAGACACGUGUUAGAACUUACGGGACUCGAUUCCGACAUACGGAAUCCGAGUUAUCGUCCAGUUUGCAAAACUCGCCAACACUUAGGCAAAAAGCCGAAAAACAGCCCAAAACCCGCAUCGGACGUCCGAAUGCCACGCAAACACACACAUAGCACCGCGUAGGUAUUAGACACGUGUUAGAACUUACGGGACUCGAUUCCGACAUACGGAAUCCGAGUUAUCGUCCAGUUUGCAAAACUCGCCAACACUUAGGCAAAAAGCCGAAAAACAGCCCAAAACCCGCAUCGGACGUCCGAAUGCCACGCAAACACACACAUAGCACCGCGUAGGUAUUAGACACGUGUUAGAACUUACGGGACUCGAUUCCGACAUACGGAAUCCGAGUUAUCGUCCAGUUUGCAAAACUCGCCAACACUUAGGCAAAAAGCCGAAAAACAGCCCAAAACCCGCAUCGGACGUCCGAAUGCCACGCAAACACACACAUAGCACCGCGUAGGUAUUAGACACGUGUUAGAACUUACGGGACUCGAUUCCGACAUACGGAAUCCGAGUUAUCGUCCAGUUUGCAAAACUCGCCAACACUUAGGCAAAAAGCCGAAAAACAGCCCAAAACCCGCAUCGGACGUCCGAAUGCCACGCAAACACACACAUAGCACCGCGUAGGUAUUAGACACGUGUUAGAACUUACGGGACUCGAUUCCGACAUACGGAAUCCGAGUUAUCGUCCAGUUUGCAAAACUCGCCAACACUUAGGCAAAAAGCCGAAAAACAGCCCAAAACCCGCAUCGGACGUCCGAAUGCCACGCAAACACACACAUAGCACCGCGUAGGUAUUAGACACGUGUUAGAACUUACGGGACUCGAUUCCGACAUACGGAAUCCGAGUUAUCGUCCAGUUUGCAAAACUCGCCAACACUUAGGCAAAAAGCCGAAAAACAGCCCAAAACCCGCAUCGGACGUCCGAAUGCCACGCAAACACACACAUAGCACCGCGUAGGUAUUAGACACGUGUUAGAACUUACGGGACUCGAUUCCGACAUACGGAAUCCGAGUUAUCGUCCAGUUUGCAAAACUCGCCAACACUUAGGCAAAAAGCCGAAAAACAGCCCAAAACCCGCAUCGGACGUCCGAAUGCCACGCAAACACACACAUAGCACCGCGUAGGUAUUAGACACGUGUUAGAACUUACGGGACUCGAUUCCGACAUACGGAAUCCGAGUUAUCGUCCAGUUUGCAAAACUCGCCAACACUUAGGCAAAAAGCCGAAAAACAGCCCAAAACCCGCAUCGGACGUCCGAAUGCCACGCAAACACACACAUAGCACCGCGUAGGUAUUAGACACGUGUUAGAACUUACGGGACUCGAUUCCGACAUACGGAAUCCGAGUUAUCGUCCAGUUUGCAAAACUCGCCAACACUUAGGCAAAAAGCCGAAAAACAGCCCAAAACCCGCAUCGGACGUCCGAAUGCCACGCAAACACACACAUAGCACCGCGUAGGUAUUAGACACGUGUUAGAACUUACGGGACUCGAUUCCGACAUACGGAAUCCGAGUUAUCGUCCAGUUUGCAAAACUCGCCAACACUUAGGCAAAAAGCCGAAAAACAGCCCAAAACCCGCAUCGGACGUCCGAAUGCCACGCAAACACACACAUAGCACCGCGUAGGUAUUAGACACGUGUUAGAACUUACGGGACUCGAUUCCGACAUACGGAAUCCGAGUUAUCGUCCAGUUUGCAAAACUCGCCAACACUUAGGCAAAAAGCCGAAAAACAGCCCAAAACCCGCAUCGGACGUCCGAAUGCCACGCAAACACACACAUAGCACCGCGUAGGUAUUAGACACGUGUUAGAACUUACGGGACUCGAUUCCGACAUACGGAAUCCGAGUUAUCGUCCAGUUUGCAAAACUCGCCAACACUUAGGCAAAAAGCCGAAAAACAGCCCAAAACCCGCAUCGGACGUCCGAAUGCCACGCAAACACACACAUAGCACCGCGUAGGUAUUAGACACGUGUUAGAACUUACGGGACUCGAUUCCGACAUACGGAAUCCGAGUUAUCGUCCAGUUUGCAAAACUCGCCAACACUUAGGCAAAAAGCCGAAAAACAGCCCAAAACCCGCAUCGGACGUCCGAAUGCCACGCAAACACACACAUAGCACCGCGUAGGUAUUAGACACGUGUUAGAACUUACGGGACUCGAUUCCGACAUACGGAAUCCGAGUUAUCGUCCAGUUUGCAAAACUCGCCAACACUUAGGCAAAAAGCCGAAAAACAGCCCAAAACCCGCAUCGGACGUCCGAAUGCCACGCAAACACACACAUAGCACCGCGUAGGUAUUAGACACGUGUUAGAACUUACGGGACUCGAUUCCGACAUACGGAAUCCGAGUUAUCGUCCAGUUUGCAAAACUCGCCAACACUUAGGCAAAAAGCCGAAAAACAGCCCAAAACCCGCAUCGGACGUCCGAAUGCCACGCAAACACACACAUAGCACCGCGUAGGUAUUAGACACGUGUUAGAACUUACGGGACUCGAUUCCGACAUACGGAAUCCGAGUUAUCGUCCAGUUUGCAAAACUCGCCAACACUUAGGCAAAAAGCCGAAAAACAGCCCAAAACCCGCAUCGGACGUCCGAAUGCCACGCAAACACACACAUAGCACCGCGUAGGUAUUAGACACGUGUUAGAACUUACGGGACUCGAUUCCGACAUACGGAAUCCGAGUUAUCGUCCAGUUUGCAAAACUCGCCAACACUUAGGCAAAAAGCCGAAAAACAGCCCAAAACCCGCAUCGGACGUCCGAAUGCCACGCAAACACACACAUAGCACCGCGUAGGUAUUAGACACGUGUUAGAACUUACGGGACUCGAUUCCGACAUACGGAAUCCGAGUUAUCGUCCAGUUUGCAAAACUCGCCAACACUUAGGCAAAAAGCCGAAAAACAGCCCAAAACCCGCAUCGGACGUCCGAAUGCCACGCAAACACACACAUAGCACCGCGUAGGUAUUAGACACGUGUUAGAACUUACGGGACUCGAUUCCGACAUACGGAAUCCGAGUUAUCGUCCAGUUUGCAAAACUCGCCAACACUUAGGCAAAAAGCCGAAAAACAGCCCAAAACCCGCAUCGGACGUCCGAAUGCCACGCAAACACACACAUAGCACCGCGUAGGUAUUAGACACGUGUUAGAACUUACGGGACUCGAUUCCGACAUACGGAAUCCGAGUUAUCGUCCAGUUUGCAAAACUCGCCAACACUUAGGCAAAAAGCCGAAAAACAGCCCAAAACCCGCAUCGGACGUCCGAAUGCCACGCAAACACACACAUAGCACCGCGUAGGUAUUAGACACGUGUUAGAACUUACGGGACUCGAUUCCGACAUACGGAAUCCGAGUUAUCGUCCAGUUUGCAAAACUCGCCAACACUUAGGCAAAAAGCCGAAAAACAGCCCAAAACCCGCAUCGGACGUCCGAAUGCCACGCAAACACACACAUAGCACCGCGUAGGUAUUAGACACGUGUUAGAACUUACGGGACUCGAUUCCGACAUACGGAAUCCGAGUUAUCGUCCAGUUUGCAAAACUCGCCAACACUUAGGCAAAAAGCCGAAAAACAGCCCAAAACCCGCAUCGGACGUCCGAAUGCCACGCAAACACACACAUAGCACCGCGUAGGUAUUAGACACGUGUUAGAACUUACGGGACUCGAUUCCGACAUACGGAAUCCGAGUUAUCGUCCAGUUUGCAAAACUCGCCAACACUUAGGCAAAAAGCCGAAAAACAGCCCAAAACCCGCAUCGGACGUCCGAAUGCCACGCAAACACACACAUAGCACCGCGUAGGUAUUAGACACGUGUUAGAACUUACGGGACUCGAUUCCGACAUACGGAAUCCGAGUUAUCGUCCAGUUUGCAAAACUCGCCAACACUUAGGCAAAAAGCCGAAAAACAGCCCAAAACCCGCAUCGGACGUCCGAAUGCCACGCAAACACACACAUAGCACCGCGUAGGUAUUAGACACGUGUUAGAACUUACGGGACUCGAUUCCGACAUACGGAAUCCGAGUUAUCGUCCAGUUUGCAAAACUCGCCAACACUUAGGCAAAAAGCCGAAAAAGAGGUCAAAACCCGCAUCGGCCGUUCGAAUGACACGCAAACACACAC